GGAACCAGAUUUAGGUGCAUACCCCUGGUUCCCGGGGCCUCGAAAUAAAGCACCACAUAUAACCUCCUUAGAGUGGUUAUGUGUUCUUCUCUUGGCUAACAGUUUGGCGACCCAGAUGGGACCUCACGGGCAUUGCUGAGGCGGCUCGCGCAUCGAUUCAGCUCCAGCCGGCACUGAGUGAUUCUCGGGGAGCCAUCGACUGCAACCGACCUCCGGUGCUCUCGACGGACCAACGGCAUUGUAGAACGUUGAUCCGGUUGCGUAGCGCCCUAAUCUGGAACCGACCGCUCUCAUUGGAUACUCCAGUACACGAGAUCGAGCCAGGAGACCAGGUCUACGUUCGUGAUUGGAGCAAGGAACCACUGAAGGAAUGGUGGAAUGGGCCAUACCUGGUGCUGCUAACUACCUCCACCUCCUACUUAUCAGGAAACAACUACAUGAGUGAAAAUACUUGCAGAAGAUGAAGUAUUUUCAAAGGGGGGAAAUGUUAGAAAUCAUAACAUUCGACUAACAGAAGUUUAAUCGGGUUUUAAUCAAUAUAUAUAUGUGUGUAGUAUUUAGCCUUAUUAAUUUAGUCGAUUUGUGCUUUGUUAGUUUUGUUACUAGGCCAGAGAAGUCUGGUAACUAGGAUGUGGACAUAGGUGUAUGAGACCGUUUAAGCAAUAUCCUUAUAAGGUGAUGGUUUGGUAGAAACAGUACUCUAAAGAUUAUUCAAGUAGAACUUUUAAUUAAGAUAGGAAACAAAGUUGCAUACCAGAACCAGUCAAGGAGAGAUAGAAGAAUACUGGCACAAACACAAUCGUUGGGACUUAUCCAGGACUCUGAAAGGUGAAAAGGACAUAGCGAGGAAGACGUCUUACUUCAUCUGAGGAAGACUACUUACUUCAUCCUAACGACCACCAGAAGGGGGCUGCGCAAGCGCAGAAACAACUGAUGGCGUAAUCAAGAGAUGAAGCAAUUUGUAAAUACAUAUGCAUGAGAAGAUGUUGUAACCUGUUGAAUAUACAUUAGAUUGUGAAAUCUCAACAGGAUAAAUUGCGGGUGCGUUGUGAUGAUCUUUGGAACCAGAUUUGAGUGCAUACCCCUGGUUCCCGGGGCUUCGAAAUAAAGCACCACAUAUAACCUC
rnacentral:lncRNA from 1 species